ACCAGAAACACUUCCUGGCCUUUAUUAUUUCUGCUGCAGUCUCAGGCAUCUUACUUAUCAUUGUAGCUGCCCUUCUCUUCAAAUACAGACAGAAAUGUUCAGCUUUAUUCACUGGCCAACACUCGCCUCCACCUCCUCCAGUUCCUGAUAGAGCCCCUGCUACCAGAGAAGAUCUGUGCUACGCCUACAUUGAUUUCACCAAAGCACAGAAAGUUUCCCCAUCACCAACCCCUGAGACUGUGAGUAUCUUGGAGACACUUCUC